rnacentral:rRNA from 1 species
UACGUAGGGGGCGAGCGUUGUCCGGAUUUAUUGGGCGUAAAGAGCGUGUAGGCGGCCAGGUAGGUCUGCUGUGAAAACUCGAGGCUCAACCUCGAGACGUCGGCGGAAACCAUCUGGCUAGAGUCCGGAAGAGGAGAGUGGAAUUCCUGGUGUAGCGGUGAAAUGCGCAGAUAUCAGGAAGAACACCCGUGGCGAAGGCGGUUCUCUGGGAAUGUCCUGACGCUGAGGAGCGAAAGUGUGGGGAGCGAACAGG